GCUUGGGGGGGUGCUAAUACAUGCAGUAGAACGCUGAAGAGAGGAGCUUGCUCUUCUUGGAUGAGUUGCGAACGGGUGAGUAACGCGUAGGUAACCUGCCUUGUAGCGGGGGAUAACUAUUGGAAACGAUAGCUAAUACCGCAUAACAAUGGAUGACACAUGUCAUUUAUUUGAAAGGGGCAAUUGCUCCACUACAAGAUGGACCUGCGUUGUAUUAGCUAGUAGGUGAGGUAACGGCUCACCUAGGCGACGAUACAUAGCCGACCUGAGAGGGUGAUCGGCCACACUGGGACUGAGACACGGCCCAGACUCCUACGGGAGGCAGCAGUAGGGAAUCUUCGGCAAUGGGGGCAACCCUGACCGAGCAACGCCGCGUGAGUGAAGAAGGUUUUCGGAUCGUAAAGCUCUGUUGUAAGUCAAGAACGAGUGUGAGAGUGGAAAGUUCACACUGUGACGGUAGCUUACCAGAAAGGGACGGCUAACUACGUGCCAGCAGCCGCGGUAAUACGUAGGUCCCGAGCGUUGUCCGGAUUUAUUGGGCGUAAAGCGAGCGCAGGCGGUUUGAUAAGUCUGAAGUUAAAGGCUGUGGCUCAACCAUAGUUCGCUUUGGAAACUGUCAAACUUGAGUGCAGAAGGGGAGAGUGGAAUUCCAUGUGUAGCGGUGAAAUGCGUAGAUAUAUGGAGGAACACCGGUGGCGAAAGCGGCUCUCUGGUCUGUAACUGACGCUGAGGCUCGAAAGCGUGGGGAGCGAACAGGAUUAGAUACCCUGGUAGUCCACGCCGUAAACGAUGAGUGCUAGGUGUUGGAUCCUUUCCGGGAUUCAGUGCCGCAGCUAACGCAUUAAGCACUCCGCCUGGGGAGUACGACCGCAAGGUUGAAACUCAAAGGAAUUGACGGGGGCCCGCACAAGCGGUGGAGCAUGUGGUUUAAUUCGAAGCAACGCGAAGAACCUUACCAGGUCUUGACAUCCCGAUGCUAUUUCUAGAGAUAGAAAGUUACUUCGGUACAUCGGUGACAGGUGGUGCAUGGUUGUCGUCAGCUCGUGUCGUGAGAUGUUGGGUUAAGUCCCGCAACGAGCGCAACCCCUAUUGUUAGUUGCCAUCAUUCAGUUGGGCACUCUAGCGAGACUGCCGGUAAUAAACCGGAGGAAGGUGGGGAUGACGUCAAAUCAUCAUGCCCCUUAUGACCUGGGCUACACACGUGCUACAAUGGUUGGUACAACGAGUUGCGAGUCGGUGACGGCAAGCUAAUCUCUUAAAGCCAAUCUCAGUUCGGAUUGUAGGCUGCAACUCGCCUACAUGAAGUCGGAAUCGCUAGUAAUCGCGGAUCAGCACGCCGCGGUGAAUACGUUCCCGGGCCUUGUACACACCGCCCGUCACACCACGAGAGUUUGUAACACCCGAAGUCGGUGAGGUAACCUUUUGGAGCCAGCCGCCUAAGGUGGAAUGAGA
rnacentral:rRNA from 1 species